rnacentral:rRNA from 1 species
UACACUCCUGCGGGAGGCAGCAGUGGGGAAUUUUGGACAAUGGGCGAAAGCCUGAUCCAGCCAUGCCGCGUGCAGGAUGAAGGCCUUCGGGUUGUAAACUGCUUUUGUACGGAACGAAACGGCCUUUUCUAAUAAAGAGGGCUAAUGACGGUACCGUAAGAAUAAGCACCGGCUAACUACGUGCCAGCAGCCGCGGUAAUACGUAGGGUGCAAGCGUUAAUCGGAAUUACUGGGCGUAAAGCGUGCGCAGGCGGUUAUGUAAGACAGUUGUGAAAUCCCCAGGCUCAACCUGGGAACUGCAUCUGUGACUGCAUAGCUAGAGUACGGUAGAGGGGGAUGGAAUUCCGCGUGUAGCAGUGAAAUGCGUAGAUAUGCGGAGGAACACCGAUGGCGAAGGCAAUCCCCUGGACCUGUACUGACGCUCAUGCACGAAAGCGUGGGGAGCAAACAGGAUUAGAAACCCCUGUAGUCCCA